GACGAACGCUGGCGGCGUGCUUAACACAUGCAAGUCGAACGGAAAGGCCCUGCUUUUGUGGCGUGCUCGAGUGGCGAACGGGUGAGUAACACGUGAGUAACCUGCCCUUGUCUUUGGGAUAACUCCAGGAAACUGGGGCGAAUACCGGAUAGGAGCUCCUGCUGCAUGGUGGGGGUUGGAAAGUGUCGGCGGUUGGGGAUGGACUAGCGGCUUAUCAGCUUGUUGGUGGGGUAGUGGAUUACCAAGGCUUUGACGGGUAGCCGGCCUGGGAGGGUGACCGGCCACCUGGGGACUGAGAUACGGCCCAGACUGCUACGGGCGGCAGCAGUGGAGAAUAUUGCGCAGUGGGCGGAAGCCUGAUACGGCGACGCCGCGUGCGGGAUGACGGCCUUCGGGUUAUAAACCGAUUUCGCCUGUGACGAAGCGUGCGUGACGGUAAUGGGUAAAGAAGCACCGGCUAACUACGUG
rnacentral:rRNA from 1 species